rnacentral:rRNA from 1 species
AGUGAAGCGGCAACAGCUCAAAUUUGAAAUCUGGCCUCGGCCCGAGUUGUAAUUUGCAGAGGAUGCUUCUGGCGCGGUGCCUUCCGAGUUCCCUGGAACGGGACGCCAAAGAGGGUGAGAGCCCCGUAUGGUCGGACACCAAGCCUGUGUGAAGCUCCUUCGACGAGUCGAGUAGUUUGGGAAUGCUGCUCUAAAUGGGAGGUAAAUCUCUUCUAAAGCUAAAUACCGGCCAGAGACCGAUAGCGCACAAGUAGAGUGAUCGAAAGAUGAAAAGCACCUUGAAAAGGGGGUUAAAUAGUACGUGAAAUUGUUGAAAGGGAAGCACUUAUGACCAGACUUGGGCCGGGCGGCUCAUCAGGGGUUCUCCCCUGUGCACUCCGCCCGGUACAGGCCAGCAUCGGUUUUCGCGGGGGGAUAAGACGGUCAGGAACGUAGCACCCUCCGGGGUGUGUUAUAGCCUGGCUGACGAUACCCUCGCGGGGACCGAGGUUCGCGCUCCGCAAGGAUGCUGGCGUAAUGGUCAUCAGUGACCCGUCUUGAAACACGGACCAAGGAGUCGUCCAUUAGAGCGAGCGUUUGGGUGUAAAACCCGCACGCGUAAUGAAAGUGAACGCAGGUGAGAGCUUCGGCGCAUCAUCGACCGAUCCUGAUGUUCUCGGAAGGAUUUGAGUAAGAGUUUUAACGGACGGACCCGAAAGACAGUGAACUAUGCUUGUAUAGGGUGAAGCCAGAGGAAACUCUGGUGGAGGCUCGCAGCGGUUCUGACGUGCAAAUCGAUCG